rnacentral:snRNA from 1 species
CCGAUUUCCCUUCAAAACACAUAAAUCUUGCGCCUUUUACUAAAGAUUACCAUGGAGGGGAACACUCAAUCAAUCAAAAUUUUAGGUAAUUGUAGUAAUCUCACUGUA